rnacentral:lncRNA from 1 species
AAAUUGUCUACCCCUGCCCUGUGGGGCAGUGUCUGUGGGUUCCACUUCUCAUCCUCUGAGGGUGUAAACUCUUAUCAAAGGACUCACAAGUUUCUAACUGAGUUAAAAGAGUGGACCUCUCCAAGGUCCCACAGGUGACACUGACUACUUGCAUAGCUGGCCUGAGUCUGAACUUGACCAAGAGCUGGAAGGCGGAACAGCUGCUCCAUCAUAUACUGGGAAACAACUAGUUUUACUGAAAAACUAGGAAGUUCUUGGGUCUGGAGAAAUACCUGGGAGGAGAU